CUCCCGGAAAUUAAUAUGAAUUCAGAAUAACGCAGCGUCAAGUGAAGUUGAGUUACCCAGGAUGAUGCGAUUUGAAAUCGGCUGUUACUCCUACUGAGCACUCGCAAAUCAGAACAAGCAUACACUGUAGGCUAAAUAUAUUAUUUCAGCCUUAAAAAGAUUGGGAGUAAGCACUAGAGACCUCCGUGAUUAACACCUGCCUGCAUCCAGAGAGCGCCUUGGGCAAGUGCCGAGCUGCAGGAUGAGAAAUGGUGCACCUGUGUGCUGUCUAAAGAUAGGCUAGCAGUGGAGGGCCAGGGAGCAGACUCCAGAGGACCCAUCCGUCUCAAUCGAAGGCUGCAGCUGACACCUUACAAAGAGGAACUAAUAUCACUGGUUCAAAAUGAUGCCAUGCCAUCGUUCCUGAUAAGAGAAGACCGGCAGUCCAACACGCUUGACAUUUUCAGUGAUCUUGAAGGUUGCUGGUCACUGGACAGUGGACAAAUGCUGAACUGUCAUGGUCUUGGGUCAGAUGUAGAUUGCACCAUCAGAGGAGGUCCCCCAGCUGGAAAAGAUAAACAGAGGAGUAAAUUGGAUGUGGGCUCAUAAGGUUUUUUGUUCCGUUUUGCAUUUUAAAAUUGUGUGAACUGCAGAAAACAGAGUAUUUGAUGCAAUUGUGAAUUCUUCUAUUUUUAGGACUAAAUCAUUCUCCACAAACAAAACACUUACUAUUAUACCCAGCAGUGCAGCAUGGUAAAUUAAGGCUGUGUCAGUCCUGAGUGCUUUUAGUGAGGUGCGUAAGUGUAUAUUAAAUGAACCAAAGCCUAAUCUGUGCUUAACUCUUCCCCAGUUAUUUGGAAAGUCAAGAGUUCCUUUGCCUAUUAUCGGUUUUAUUUUAUGGUACAUUCCAUGGGGAUGGAUUGAGCUUGGUUAUGGAUUAACAGUGCGAUCAAUGGUUAGAUUUGAGUCUGGCUGAGGAAAAUGAAUUGGAAAUGCUGUCAAACCUUUAUCGACCCACCCCUAAGACUCGCUUUUAUUGCAGGCAGAAUAAUAUUGUGAUGAGUAGCUAAUCUUCCAUUUUAAACACAACCUUCACCCCUCACAUUCUCACAGGACUCGUUCUGCUUUAUUUAUUGUGAUUAUUCCUAUUUCUAAUUACAUUUUACAUAGUCAACCUAUGCAUGCUUUAAAUGGCAUAAUAUAAAACUUGAGAAAUUUUUUCAGGAAUAUAUAUUUUGCGAAAUCGUAGGUGCUUGUAAGUAUGUUAAUUUAAGUUAUUAUUAAUAGUAUCUUUUUUGAAAUCUAAAUACAUUAAAGGUCAAAGUAACAACUUGCAUGAAUGUAGGGAAAUUAAAAUUGAAUUAGGUUUGAAUUGCCUUCUGAGAAAUAUUGUAAUGGAAAAUUGUAUCAAAUUGUAUCACUUCACCUUGAUGCUGUUGAGUUUGGUUGGUAUUUUAUUUCAUUUUUUUUUUUACACAUCUGAAAGUCAGUGCUGCCUGAAAAUAGGCACUAGAAUAAUUAUCACCGCUGACCUGUUGUUUUCAUUAUCAUCAUGAAUAAUACUUGCGAAUAAGCUGUUUUGGAUAAAAGGUAUGUGAGGAAGUUGCCAUCAAACUCUCGUUUUUCAUGUGGUUCGCUUUUUGUUGAAUAUGCAUUUAAUUGAUAUAUUAAGCAAUGCAUCACUGUUCAGUUUAGGUUCCCAUUUUUCUAGUAUAACAAGAAAGUUGUGAUUGAAAAAAUAAUAAAAGAAAAGACAAUAUGGUGUAAUUAUUUGAAUAUUUGUGGUCUUUUUUUUCCCAUCAUGAUAAAAACCGAUCUUGGUUCUAAUUUUUUUCUCCACUUUCCAUCUCAUAUUAUUGUACAAAAUCACAAUGAUUUCCUCCAUUAAAUGCCACAAAUUACAGAGUGAGAGAAAGGGCCAGGAAGGUGGAUCCCAUUCAUUUCAUGUUUCAUUUUCUGCAUUGUAUUCCAAAGUCUCUCCUCACAUGCCUGCUCCUGCUCUUCAUUACUGAAG